rnacentral:rRNA from 1 species
GACGAAGGGGGCUAGCGUUGUUCGGAAUUACUGGGCGUAAAGGGCGCGUAGGUGGCUUCUUAAGCGUGCGGUGAAAGCCUGGGGCUCAACCCCGGGUCGGCCGUGCGAACUGGGGGGCUGGAGCACUGUAGAGGCAGGCGGAAUUCCGGGUGUAGCGGUGGAAUGCGUAGAGAUCCGGAAGAACACCGGUGGCGAAGGCGGCCUGCUGGGCAGUUGCUGACACUGAGGCGCGACAGCGUGGGGAGCAAACAGG